rnacentral:misc_RNA from 1 species
AAAAAUAUGGCUUUUGCGAUAUCCAAAGAGAAAAUAGGCAGUGAUGAUCAAGAUAGUGUCGAGACAGAGAGAGUAAUAAGUAGCCAACUCUAUUUGAAGUCAUCGUCCCAUGAAAAUCUUGACAAAAAUGUUGUGCUGAGGAGACUUCGUCACCAUAAAUACUUGCAAAAGGUUCGUGGAAAUUUGAAGACUCUAUUGGACAGUUAUUCG